UGACCUAAACCCUCACCAGAGUAACAAUUGGAGGGCAAGUCUGGUGCCAGCAGCCGCGGUAAUUCCAGCUCCAAUAGCGUAUAUUAAACUUGUUGCAGUUAAAAAGCUCGUAGUUGAAUUUCUGCGUUAUCGAGUUAUUGACUCUUGUCUUUAAUCGAUUUCGCUUUUGGGAUUUAUCCCUUUUUACUUUGAGAAAAUUAGAGUGUUUCAAGCAGACUUUUGUCUUGAAUACUUCAGCAUGGAAUAAUAGAGUAGGACUUUGGUUCUAUUUUGUUGGUUUUUGAACCUUAGUAAUGGUUAAUAGGAACGGUUGGGGGCAUUCGUAUUUAACUGUCAGAGGCGAAAUUCUUAGAUUUGUUAAAGACGAACUACUGCGAAAGCAUUUGCCAAGGACGUUUCCAUUAAUCAAGAACGAAAGUUAGGGGAUCGAAGACGAUCAGAUACCGU
rnacentral:rRNA from 1 species